UACAGAGGCCCCAAGCGUUACUGAGAAUCACUGGGUUUAAAGGGUGCGUAGGUGGUCCGUUAAGUCAGUUGUGAAAUCCCCGGGCUCAACCCGGGAACUGCUUCUGAUACUGGCGGACUUGAGGCCGGUAGGGGUCACUGGAACAGACGGUGGAGCGGUGAAAUGCGUAGAUAUCGUCUGGAACGCCGGUGGUGAAGACGGGUGACUGGGCCGGUUCUGACACUGAGGCACGAAAGCGUGGGGAGCGAACGGG
rnacentral:rRNA from 1 species